GCAUGGCACUGGAUUUGUGGGCAGGCCUAGCCCCGUGGCCUGCUCAUAGUGUACUCCAUGCAAGAGCGACCAGCUGCCCCGAACCAUUGCUCGGCCUCUGCCCGUAGUCCUGCGCACUGAAGCGGGCAGCACAGCU